UAACACGUAUCCAACCUGCCGUCUACUCUUGGACAGCCUUCUGAAAGGAAGAUUAAUACAAGAUGGCAUCAUGAGUCCGCAUGUUCACAUGAUUAAAGGUAUUCCGGUAGACGAUGGGGAUGCGUUCCAUUAGAUAGUAGGCGGGGUAACGGCCCACCUAGUCUUCGAUGGAUAGGGGUUCUGAGAGGAAGGUCCCCCACAUUGGAACUGAGACACGGUCCAAACUCCUACGGGAGGCAGCAGUGAGGAAUAUUGGUCAAUGGGCGAGAGCCUGAACCAGCCAAGUAGCGUGAAGGAUAACUGCCCUAUGGGUUGUAAACUUCUUUUAUAAAGGAAUAAAGUCGGGUAUGGAUACCCGUUUGCAUGUACUUUAUGAAUAAGGAUCGGCUAACUCCGUGCCAGCAGCCGCGGUAAUACGGAGGAUCCGAGCGUUAUCCGGAUUUAUUGGGUUUAAAGGGAGCGUAGAUGGAUGUUUAAGUCAGUUGUGAAAGUUUGCGGCUCAACCGUAAAAUUGCAGUUGAUACUGGAUAUCUUGAGUGCAGUUGAGGCAGGCGGAAUUCGUGGUGUAGCGGUGAAAUGCUUAGAUAUCACGAAGAACUCCGAUUGCGAAGGCAGCCUGCUAAGCUGCAACUGAUAUUGAGGCUCGAAAGUGUGGGUAUCAAACAGGAUUAGAUACCCUGGUAGUCCACACGGUAAACGAUGAAUACUCGCUGU
rnacentral:rRNA from 1 species